CAGUGAGGACGAAGCGCCGGGGCCCUGCCUGCGCCCCCACUCAGGGCGCCCUCGUCACGGCCGCGUCCUGUCCUCCGUGCGCUCCUAAUAGCUCCACGUCAGAGUUCCCAGUUUCAGUGGAUGAAUCCAAUGUGGAGACCAUAACCGCUGAAAGGAGUCCACAGAGCAAGUCUGAUGGCCCUGCUUCCUUGGGCAUAUUCUACGAGGUAUGGCAGAAUGGAUAGUACACAGGUAAAAACUGUCUUUCUAGGCUUGGUACUCUCAAGUACAAAUGAAAGUAUUGUGUUCAUAUGAACUAACCAGUGCCCCCCAGAGCUGUGUCUCUAGUUGCAUAUGUAGCAGAGGAUGGGAGGAGAGGCCCUUGGUCUUGUGAAGAUCAUAUGCCCCAGUACAGGGGAAUGCCAGAGCCAGGAAGCAGGAGUGGAUGGGUUGAGGAGCAGGGAAGGGAGAGGGUAUAGGGGGCUUUGGGGAUAACAUUUGAAAUGUAAAUGAAGAAAAUACCUAAUAAAAAAGAAAAAAAAAAGUAUUGUGUUAAUUUUAAUAAAAUUCCAAAAAAAAA
ensembl:antisense Gm15952 predicted gene 15952